rnacentral:rRNA from 1 species
UACAGAGGUCUCAAGCGUUGUUCGGGAUUCAUUGGGCGUAAAGGGUGCGUAGGCGGCGCGGUAAGUCGGGUGUGAAAUCUCGGAGCUUAACUCCGAAACUGCAUUCGAUACUGCCGUGCUUGAGGACUGGAGAGGAGACUGGAAUUUACGGUGUAGCGGUGAAAUGCGUAGAUAUCGUAAGGAAGACCAGUGGCGAAGGCGGGUCUCUGGACAGUUCCUGACGCUGAGGCACGAAGGCCAGGGGAGCAAACGGG